rnacentral:rRNA from 1 species
GAAGAACCUUACCAGGGUCUUGACAUCUAGUGCCAACCUAAGAGAUUAGGCGUUCCCUUCGGGGACACUAAGACAGGUGGUGCAUGGCUGUCGUCAGCUCGUGUCGUGAGAUGUUGGGUUAAGUCCCGCAACGAGCGCAACCCUUAUUAUUAGUUGCCAGCAUUAAGUUGGGCACUCUAAUGAGACUGCCGGUGACAAACCGGAGGAAGGUGGGGAUGACGUCAAGUCAUCAUGCCCCUUAUGACCUGGGCUACACACGUGCUACAAUGGGCAGUACAACGAGGAGCGAACUUGUGAAGGCAAGCGAAUCUCUGAAAGCUGUUCUCAGUUCGGACUGUAGGCUGCAACUCGCCUACACGAAGCUGGAAUCGCUAGUAAUCGCGGAUCAGCACGCCGCGGUGAAUACGUUCCCGGGUCUUGUACACACCG